rnacentral:rRNA from 1 species
AAACUUGAGAGUUUGAUCAUGGCUCAGAACGUACGCUGGCGGCACGCCUAACACAUGCAAGUCGAACGAAGUAGCAAUACUUAGUGGCAGACGGGUGAGUAACAUGUAGGUAUCUACCCUUUGGUCUGGAAUAACACGAGGAAACUUGUGCUAAUACCGGAUAAGUCUUUACGGAGAAAGCUUUAUGCACCAUUGGAUGAGCCUGCACUUGAUUAGUUUGUUGGUGGGGUAAUGGCCUACCAAGACUGUGAUCAAUAGCUGAUUUGAGAGGAUGAUCAGCCACAUUGGGACUGAGACACGGCCCAAACUCCUACGGGAGGCAGCAGUGGGGAAUCUUGCACAAUGGAGGAAACUCUGAUGCAGCGAUGCCGCGUGAGUGAAGAAGGCCCUUGGGUUGUAAAGCUCUUUCGUCGGGGAAGAAAAUGACUGUACCCGAAUAAGAAGGUCCGGCUAACUUCGUGCCAGCAGCCGCGGUAAUACGAAGGGACCUAGCGUAGUUCGGAAUUACUGGGCUUAAAGAGUUCGUAGGUGGUUGAAAAAGUUGGUGGUGAAAUCCCAGAGCUUAACUCUGGAACUGCCAUCAAAACUUUUCAGCUAGAGUAUGAUAGAGGAAAGCAGAAUUUCUAGUGUAGAGGUGAAAUUCGUAGAUAUUAGAAAGAAUACCAAUUGCGAAGGCAGCUUUCUGGAUCAUUACUGACACUGAGGAACGAAAGCAUGGGUAGCGAAGAGGAUUAGAUACCCUCGUAGUCCAUGCCGUAAACGAUGUGUGUUAGACGUUGGAAAUUUAUUUUCAGUGUCGCAGCGAAAGCGAUAAACACACCGCCUGGGGAGUACGACCGCAAGGUUAAAACUCAAAUGAAUUGACGGGGACCCGCACAAGUAGUGGAGCAUGUGGUUUAAUUCGAAGAUACGCGCAGAACCUUACCAACACUUGACAUGUUCGUCGCGACUCUAAGAGAUUAGAGUUUUCGGUUCGGCCGGACGAAACACAGGUGCUGCAUGGCUGUCGUCAGCUCGUGUCGUGAGAUGUUGGGUUAAGUCCCGCAACGAGCGCAACCCUCACUUUUAGUUGCCAUCAUUAAGUUGGGCACUCUGAAAGAACUGCCAGUGAUAAGCUGGAGGAAGGUGGGGAUGACGUCAAGUCCUCAUGGCCCUUACGUGUUGGGCUACACACGUGCUACAAUGGUAUCUACAACAGGAAGCAAGACGGCGACGUUAAGCAAAUCCUUAAAAGAUACCUCAGUUCGGAUUGCACUCUGCAACUCGAGUGCAUGAAGCUGGAAUUACUAGUAAUCGUGGAUCAGCGUGCCACGGUGAAUGCGUUCCCGGGUCUUGUACACACCGCCCGUCACACCAUGGGAGUUGGUUCUACCUUAAGGCAAGGUUUUAAACCCUUGACCACGGUAUAGUCAGCGACUGGGGUGAAGUCGUAACAAGGUAGCCGUAGGGGAACCUGCGGCUGGAUUACCUCCUUU